GCCCUAAUGAUGGAAUUGGUAGACAUGCAAGAUUUAGGCUCUUGUGACUAUUAAGUCAUGUAGGUUCGAGUCCUACUUAGGGUA
rnacentral:tRNA from 1 species